AGCAGCCGCGGUAAUUCCAGCUCCAAUAGCGUAUAUUAAAGUUGUUGCAGUUAAAAAGCUCGUAGUUGAAUUUCGGGAUGAUCAGGUUGGUCGUGCCAUUGGUAUGUACUAGCUUUGGUGGUUCCUACCUCUUGAAGAACCGUAAUGUCAUUAACUUGGUGUUGCGGGGAAUCAGGACUGUUACUUUGAAAAAUUAGAGUGUUUAAAGCAGGCAAACGCUUGAAUACAUUAGCAUGGAAUAAUGAAAUAGGACGUUUGAUCUUAUUUUGUUGGUUUCUAGGAUCGACGUAAUGAUUAAUAGGGAUAGUUGGGGGCAUUAGUAUUCAAUUGUCAGAGGUGAAAUUCUUGGAUUUAUUGAAGACUAACUACUGCGAAAGCAUUUGCCAAGGAUGUUUUCAUUAAUCAAGAACGAAAGUUAGGGGAUCGAAGACGAUCAGAUACCGUCGUAGUCUUAACCAUAAACUAUGCCGACUAGGGAUCGGAUGAUGUUAAUUUUUAAUGACUCAUUCGGCGCCUUACG
rnacentral:rRNA from 1 species